CCUACGGGAGGCAGCAGUGGGGAAUGUUGCGCAAUGAGCGUAAGAGUGACGCAGCGACGCCGCGUGAAUGACGAAGGCCUUCGGGUCGUAAAGCUCUUUCGACAGGGAAGAAAAUGCCUAUAAGUAACUGUGUAUGUAUUGACGGUACCUGUAUAAGCAGCCCCGGCUAACGCCGUGCCAGCAGCCGCGGUAAUACGGAGGGGGCGAGCGUUGUUCGGAGUGACUGGGCGUAAAGAGCACGUAGGCGGUGUUGUAAGUCAUGAGUCAAAGACUAGAGCUCAACUUUAGUAAGGCUGGUGAUACUGUAAUACUAGAGUAUCAGAGAGGAUUGCGGAAUUCCUGGUGUAGCGGUGAAAUGCGUAGAUAUCAGGAGGAAUACCGUUCGCGAAGGCGGCAAUCUGGCUGGAAACUGACGCUGAGGUGCGAAAGCGUGGGUAGCAAACAGGAUUAGAUACCCUAGUAGUC
rnacentral:rRNA from 1 species